AUUGAACGAUGGCGGCAGGCCUAACACAUGCAAGUCUAACGAGUGGCGGACGGGGGAGUAAAGUCUGGGAAACUGCCUGAUGGAGGGGGAUAACUACAGGAAACGGUAGCUAAUACCGCAUACCAUCAGAUGUGCCCAGAUGGGAUUAGCUAGUUGGUGGGGUAACGGCUAACAAAGGCGACGAGCCCUAGCUGGUCUGAGAGGAUGACCAGCCACUCUGGAACUUGGACACGGUCCAGACUCCUACGGGAGGCAGCAGUGGGGAAUAUUGCACAAUGGGCGCAAGCCUGAUGCAGCCAUGCCGCGUGUAUGAAGAAGGCCUUCGGGUUGUAAAGUACUUUCAGCGGGGAGGCGUUACCCGCAGAAGAAGCACCGGCUAACUCCGUGCCAGCAGCCGCGGUAAUUC
rnacentral:rRNA from 1 species